GAAUUGACGGGGACCCGCACAAGUAGUGGAGCAUGUGGUUUAAUUCGAAGAUACGCGCAGAACCUUACCAACACUUGACAUGUUCGUCGCGAUUCUAAGAGAUUAGAGUUUUCGGUUCGGCCGGACGAAACACAGGUGCUGCAUGGCUGUCGUCAGCUCGUGUCGUGAGAUGUUGGGUUAAGUCCCGCAACGAGCGCAACCCUCACUUUUAGUUGCCAUCAUUAAGUUGGGCACUCUGAAAGAACUGCCAGUGAUAAGCUGGAGGAAGGUGGGGAUGACGUCAAGUCCUCAUGGCCCUUACGUGUUGGGCUACACACGUGCUACAAUGGUAUCUACAACAGGAAGCAAGACUGCGAGGUCAAGCAAAUCCCUAAAAGAUACCUCAGUUCGGAUUGCACUCUGCAACUCGAGUGCAUGAAGCUGGAAUUACUAGUAAUCGUGGAUCAGCGUGCCACGGUGAAUGCGUUCCCGGGUCUUGUACACACCGCCCGUCACACCAUGGGAGUUGGUUCUACCUUAAGGCAAGGUUUUAAACCCUUGACCACGGUAUAGUCAGCGACUGGGGUGAAGUCGUAACAAGGUAACCGUA
rnacentral:rRNA from 1 species